UGGGGAAUUUUGGACAAUGGGCGCAAGCCUGAUCCAGCCAUGCCGCGUGCGGGAAGAAGGCCUUCGGGUUGUAAACCGCUUUUGUCAGGGAAGAAAAGGUUCUGGUUAAUACCUGGGACUCAUGACGGUACCUGAAGAAUAAGCACCGGCUAACUACGUGCCAGCAGCCGCGGUAAUACGUAGGGUGCAAGCGUUAAUCGGAAUUACUGGGCGUAAAGCGUGCGCAGGCGGUUAUGCAAGACAGAGGUGAAAUCCCCGGGCUCAACCUGGGAACUGCCUUUGUGACUGCAUAGCUAGAGUACGGUAGAGGGGGAUGGAAUUCCGCGUGUAGCAGGGAAAUGCGUAGAUAUGCGGAGGAACACCGAUGGCGAAGGCAAUCCCCUGGACCUGUACUGACGCUCAUGCACGAAAGCGUGGGGAGCAAACAGG
rnacentral:rRNA from 1 species